ensembl:lncRNA
GCUCCGCUCCGCGCUCCCCUGUUCGUCACGACGCGGCCCCGCUCGGGGCCUGGCAGCAGGAGCCCAUUGUCCGCCCGCGCCGCCCCCCAGCAGCGCCCUUAACCCGCUCCCGCAUAACGCCCCGCGGCGGGCGGCACAACUGAGCACUGCCAGCGCCCGCCGCGCGCCCCGCAGCCGCCACUCCGUACACAGCGGCGCCCCCUGCCGGGCUCCAGCCCGCCCCGCCCAGCGCCCGCCUCCUCGCCGCCCUACCCCCCGCCCGGAAGCGGGCGCGCCGUGCCCGCUGGGAGCUGUAGUUCCGCCGGCCGCGAGGCGGGGAAGGUGCCGCCGCCGGCGGGGCGGACUCCGUUUCCCAGCGUGCCCGCAGGGGGUGGCAUGGCGGCGGGAGGAUGACACCGGAGUUUGACGAAGAAGUGGUGUUUGAGCAGUCUACUGUGAGGAAGGGGAGGGCUGACUGUGCUCUCUUUUCAUCACAUCACUGGGAGGAGGCAGGUGAUACCAGAGUGAAAAUAGAAGAAACUACCAGCUUAAAUCCAUGGAGGAUACAUUUACCACUUCUGCCUUCAGUUUUUCAGUUAUUAUUAAUUUCUGUCCUUGGCAGAGAGAUCAGCUUCUGUAUUCACAGGUCCAUUUUUGAUUGGUUAUAAAGCCACAUUAGUCAGGAGAAAUUGCACAGUCCUGGGAAGUUUCAAACUGCAUCUGCUGAUGCUGUCAGGAAAAUGCUACUGUGCAGGAGCACAGGUGCAAUUGCAUUGACUGCUACUCCUCAUCCUCGGCUCGGGUCAUCCUGGAGGGACGAGUGGAACGAAACGGGGAGGUGGGCGAGAUUCUGUCGGAUGCGUGGGAACAGUACAGGAGAGAAAAAUGGAAUGCCCUCGUCCAGGAGACAAAGAUCGCGCUGUCUGUAAGUGCUAGCUCAACUUUUUCAAGUUAUGUUUUGAAGAGAGGGAGAGAUUUCAGUACGGUUUAUUUGGUUGUGAGCUUUGCCACCUGUUAAGCUCAUCUGUUAGGCUUUGUAGAAAAGCACAAUCUUUUCUAAACUCAGAAUUCAGAGCUUGUCUUCUUUUUGGAGAUAGAUUGAUGGUGUUCCUGGACUACUCAGCUUUGAAAAACAUUUCUGUAUUUUAAGAAGAGAUCUUUAAACCCUUUAUUUUGUGCAAUCACAUUAAAUGUUACUUUUAAGGCUAUUCUGCUCAGCUAGCUAUGGUUGGAAACUGGAGCAGGGGGUUACUAAGUAGUAAAUCUUAUCUGAGUAAAGAAUUUGGGGUGUGGGAAGACCCCAUCUCUAAUGGAGAAAUCUCUAAUAGAGAAAUCCUGAGUCAUUUAGUUCACGAUGCAUCAGCAAAAAUAAUUUGGGUGUGGCUUUCAUAUUCAGCUGCUAUUGUAACAAAACCACGACAGCUAACAGUGUUUUAUUAUUUGUGAUUACAAAAGUUUUUUCUCAGAAUAUGCAUAAAGUGCCUUACAUAUUAAAGUGCAAUAUUUGUGCUUGCUGCAAUAGAUAAAAGAUAUUUGAGGAAAUAUAAAUAAAAAAUAAGCUCUCUUCUGCAGCUAAGAAAUCCUCUAAGAUAACAACCUUUCCAUCACAUAGCAGUAUACUGUUAUGCGUUUGAUUUUUUUGUUAAUGUUUGACUUGCUUUUGGUAUUUAUUUUUGCUGUAGGCUUAGAGUUGUGAACAAGAUGUUUGAUCUUUGGUUCAGUUUAGGAGCUGGGUUUUUUCCUAAGUCAGUGCUGUGUGGAAAGUGGGAUUGAAAUAAACCUUGGAAAAGGGGUAAAGAACAGAAUCUUGGGAUUAGAAUGAGACUCAACUGCUUUCAACUGUCGAAAAUGACAGUUGUCAUUAAACGUGUAAGUAUUUGAGUGAAAUGUAAAAUACAUAGGCUAAGAGAGCUGUGAAUAAGGGGGAAAGGGAUUUUUUUUUUCUUGAUUCUGGACAUGAGAGCUUAUAUAAACCUACACUAUAUUAUACAUCUCUGUUUACAGUUGGAUGUCUUUGCAGUGUGACAUAGUAGUGAUUUAGAAAAAUCAUACAGAAAUAAGCAGGAGUUUUUGUUGUUGUUCUUGUUCCCAGAAAACCCAACUUCUUAAAAUCUGAGAAAGCUUGUUCCUAUUCAUUGCAUCAACCGUAUCAGACAAGCUGUUUCACUUAUUAACCAGAUUUCUCCUUGUCUAGUCUGUAAGAAGUACACAAAAGAAUAAUGGCUUCUUGUUUAUUGGCUGUCCUGGAGCUGUUCUCCAUUUUGAGAAUGUGUUUUUGUCAAGUAGCAUAAUAAAUUGAUGUCCUGAUUGUAAAUGUAAUGCCUCUCUCUUGUAUCUAGGUGAUCUCAGAAAGUGAAUUAGAAGACACAACUUUGAAGGAACUUCAGAAAUAAAUACAACAUAUUGCUGAAAAACCUGUCUUGGUAUCCUCACUUGCUUUAGAUCAUGGGGGUCCAACUUGUUGGCUUGCCUGGGCCACACUGGGUAAAGAGUGAUUGGCAUGGGCUGCGUAUAAGAUAGAUAAUUAAUGUACUUAUCAUAACAAAAGUUUUUUUUAUCAUUAUUCCACUGUCAGUGUGUGGUGGGCAUGAGAGGCAGGGUUAGCCCAGCUCUGUGCCCUUCCCUCCACAGUGUACAGUUGUUGCCUACAUGGUCCACACUCAAGCUACACACCAUCACUUCAUGAAAAGUAUCACCAAAAAAUCACAUAGUAAUGUUAAAGUUGAUGGCAUCUGGCUCAUUACUGGCUGUCCCAGGGCUGUGUGUGGCCUGUGGGCUCUGGGUUGGACAUGUUUGAUUUAAAUGGCAAUUAUCAUAACUGGUGCUGUGAUGGUGAUAGAACAGGCUGAAUGAUGACGUUGUUUUUUCUCUUCUAUUCUGUAAAUCAUUAAUUACUGUGUCAUUCUAAUAGGGGCAACUAGAAAUGAAUAAAUGAACCUGACAGUCAAGCACGAGCAAUACUAACCAUUCUAAUAGUAUCCAGUUUGAGCGGUUGAAUGUGAAGUUAAAGAUUGAAAAAUACACAGGAAUAGAUUCCUUUAGGAUAAUAUGGUUCUGUAUUAAUGGUAAAAAUGAAAUUUCAUAUUUUACGUUUCCCAUUCAAAUCAUCUACUGAAACAAUGUUGCUAUCCCUUUACCUGACAUUCUAACAUAAAAGCUUUCUUUCAAGACUUACUUAUAUUUUUUGUAUUCCAACCUACUGCUCAUUGCAAGGAUACAUUUCUUUAUGUCCAGAAUUUCUCAAACUAAAACUGUAGCACCUAUAAUAUGUGGAUAAGCGUCAAAAUCAACUGUGAGGUUGUUUAUUUUAAUUUUUAAAUAUUGGACUGUUGAAAAAAGAAUGCAUGAAUAUUAGGAAAGAAAAUUAGGAGGCAAAAAAGCAAAUCCUGUAAAUUCAAAGCUAAGAUUUAUCAAACAUCAUACAUAUUAGGAGAUUAAAGUACUGGUUUUUAAAGCUUCAUGAGGAUUGUGAGUAUUAAUUAUAAUGUUUCGGUUGCCCGUCUUGAAACAUAAGAAGUAUUUAGUGUAGCAUAUUUUAAUGCUAUCAUAUUGCAAGGGAAUGCUUGCGUAGUAAUUCUUUGACUGCGUUGGUUGAAGAAAUCCUCAGUGAGUUAUGCAGACUGCACAGCUUUGCAAGUGAGAGGCUUGUCAGUAACACUUAAAACCAGACGGUAUCUAGGACAUUAAAUGUAAUGUCAAUAAAUAGUUUGUGUGUUUAUGCUAGCGUAGGCCAACGCAUGACGUGAUACUUCUAAUAAAAGAAAAGGUGUAAACCACAAAUUUUAUGAAUGAACAAACUGUAAAGCUGAGUGGGCUAUGCAAGAGAGCUCACUUGUAAUGGAAGAUUUUUAUGAUCAGUUCAUUAAAGUUCUUAGUAAUCUAAUUUCACAGAGGCUUCAACCCACUUCUUAGUUCUUUCUGUACCCACAUAUCAUGUGGUAUUAUGGAUUUAGAAAAGGGAAAAAUGGUGUUUUGACUUAGAGGACAGGCAUAGUUCUUUAUUUAAGUUAAUAAAAAAUGAGGUUUUACAAUGUGGACUGUAAAUUUAGCUAAUAAUCUGUUAAGAAAAAUGGGGGAGAGCAAAUAUGUGGCCAGAGAAGGUGUGCUAGAAGAGGGUUGACAGAGCCCAAGUUCUUCCUGAGAAACUCAGAGAACAUUGCACAUUUACUUGAAGGAAUAUGAUAAACAUUCAAGUUAAAUUUUAAUCAAUUAUAAUUUGCCAACUCAGUAAUCAAAAAACUGAUUUCUAGUUCCCAGCAGUAUUAAAAAUCUGCAAGUCAAACUAUGAGGGGGACAUUUAAAAAGCCUUUGAGAAGUUAAUCAGAAGGAUCUUAGGUAAAACCUAGUAAGGUGCUGUAUUCUACCUUGGUUACAAGAACAAAUGAAAUUAUCCCAACUACAGUCUAACGUUUCAUUAACAUUUGAAGAGGUGUUUGUUUUGUUUUGUUUUUUACUAUUUCUGUUCAGUAGAAAUUGUACUGAUUAAGUUAACUGUGUGGUUUUGAUGGUAUGUAAAAAUAAGAGAGAAGGGCUAGGCAUUCUUAGGCCUAUGCAAUAAUUCACUUACUAAAUAUAGCAUUCAGGAUUUUAGCUGAUUCUCUCUGGUUUUAGUGGACAAGAGUCUCUCUUGCUGCAUGACUCUUCCUCUGCCUUCUUUCAUCCAUUCCUGUGGGGAAGUGGAACCAAUCUAAACAGCUUUACGCUGUUUUUCUUGAUCAGCUUUUAAGAAAAUGAUCUCAUAGUGGAUCAUUCCCUCCUGUGCCCUGCACAUUUGAAGUGACCUUACACAAUCAGAAUAAAAAACUCUUUUUCUUCUCUUGGAAUGCUGACAGAUUGCUUUUCAUACUGAAUAUUUGCUCUGUGGUGGUUUUAGAUCAUGAGCAAAGACAUAGUUUGCAUUUCCUUUGAGUUGGUUGGUGCUUGCUUGAAUCCUUUGUAAUGACAAGCUAUCAUCUGUGUGGCCUUUCUGCAGAGACCCAGAAGGAGAAGUAAUUUUACCUUAUUUCCACAACAAAGAGCUGUUAAUAUCACCAGCAUCUCUAGAAUUAUUUGGCUAGCUGAAUGGAUUCUGUCUAGCCUUGCCCCUGCAGUGGAGAAAGCAGAACACAGAAGGUAUGCUCUAAGCUAGUAGUGGAAAAACUCCUUGGUAUAUGUAUUUUGACAGCUGUCUGUAUUUAGGUGAGUAUCAAUAAAGAGAAGGAUAGUCUUGUGUCUUGCUUGUGACAGGUGUGAUUGAGAUGAUUGUCAUCACUGAAGACAGCAAAAAAAGCAGGAUUUCCAGUUUACCGAUGUGAAAUAGUCUUUAAACUUCUUGGUUUGUUUUCAUGCCAAAACACAGUAUUUGAGGUGCAGUCUCACUAGCACUGUGUACAAGGGCACUGUCACUUCCUAGUCCUGUUGGCCAUACUAUCUCUGAUGCAGGCCAGGAUGCCAUUGGCCUUCUUGGCCACUUNAGGUAGACUAUGUCAACAGCCCUUCCCUCAUCCACUAAGCAGGUCACUUGGUCAUGGAAAAACAUUAGGUUGGACAAGCAGGACCUGUAUUUUAUUAUUCCAUACUGGCUAGGUCUGAUUACCUGCUUGUCCCUCCCAUGCUGUGUGAUUGCUGGAAUGAUGAGACACUCUCCUGUAUAAGAAACGCUGCA